rnacentral:misc_RNA from 1 species
GAUGAAGAACGCAGCGAAAUGCGAUAAGUAAUGUGAAUUGCAGAAUUCAGUGAAUCAUCGAAUCUUUGAUCGCACCUUGCGCCCUUUGGCUAUUCCGAAGGGCAUGCCUGUUUGAGUAUCGUGAACACCUCAACUCUCAUGGUUUGCCAUGAUGAGCUUGGACUUUGGGGGUUUUGCUGGCCUUUGGUCGGCUCCUCUCAAACGGAUCAGCUUUCCAGUGUUUGGUGGCGUCACGGGUGUGAUAACUAUCUACGCCUGUGGUUUUCUGCCAGAUAACCUUCAGCGAUGGAGGUUCGCUGGGGCUCAUAAAUGUCUCUCUUCAGUGGAGACAGCUUUUUGGACGUUUGAUCUCAAAUCAGGUAGGACUACCCGCUGAACUUAAGCAUAUCAAUAAGCGGAGGA